AUACGAACCGGACAAACGUUAUUCGGAAUUAUUGGGCUUAAAGGGUGUGUAGGCGGCAAUGUAGGUGGGGUGUGAAAUCCCUCGGCUCAACCGAGGAACUGCGCCCCAAACCACAUAGCUAGAGGGAGACAGAGGUAAGCGGAACUGAUGGUGGAGCGGUGAAAUGCGUUGAUAUCAUCGGAACACCAGUGGCGAAAGCGGCUUACUGGGUCUCUUCUGACGCUGAGACACGAAAGCUAGGGUAGCGAACGGGAUUAGAUACCCCAGUAGUCC
rnacentral:rRNA from 1 species